rnacentral:rRNA from 1 species
AAUUGGAGGGCAAGUCUGGUGCCAGCAGCCGCGGUAAUUCCAGCUCCAAUAGCGUAUAUUAAAGUUGUUGCAGUUAAAAAGCUCGUAGUUGAGUUUCGGGAUCAGUACGCUGGUCGUGCCUCCGGUAUGUACUGGUGUCACUGAUUCCUCCCUUCUGAAGAACCAUCAUGCCAUUAAUUUGGUGUGGUGGGGAAUCAGGACUGUUACUUUGAAAAAAUUAGGGUGUCUAAAGCAGGCUCGCGCUUGAAUACAUUAGCAUGGAAUAAUGAAAUAGGACGUUUAUCCUAUUUUGUUGGUUUCUAGGAUUGACGUAAUGAUUAAUAGGGAUAGUUGGGGGCAUUAGUAUUCAAUUGUCAGAGGUGAAAUUCUUGGAUUUAUUGAAGACUAACUACUGCGAAAGCAUUUGCCAAGGAUGUUUUCAUUAAUCAAGAACGAAAGUUAGGGGAUCGAAGACGAUCAGAUACCGUCGUAGUCUUAACCAUAAACUGUGCCGACUAGGGAUCGGAUGAUGUUAAUUUUUUAAUGACUCAUUCGGCGCCUUACGGGAAACCAAAGUGU